UACAGAGGGCUCAAGCGUUAAUCGGAAUCACUGGGCUUAAAGGGUCCGCAGGCGGAUUGGAAAGUAUCUUGUGAAAUACCACGGCUCAACCGUGGAACUGCUCGGUAAACUUCCAAUCUUGAACACGGUAGGGGCCAUCGGAACUCUAGGUGGAGCGGUGAAAUGCGUAGAUAUCUAGAGGAACGCCAGAGGCGAAGGCGGAUGGCUGGGCCGUUGUUGACGCUCGAGGGAACGGAAAGCAGUAGGGGUAGUCGAACGGGAUUCGAGAGUACCCGGACGUC
rnacentral:rRNA from 1 species